rnacentral:tRNA from 1 species
CGGGGAAUAGCUCAGCUUGGUAGAGCGCUGUGUUCGGGACGCAGAGGCCGCUGGUUCGAAUCCAGUUUCCCCGA